UGCCUUCCUGGGUAUGUCAGGUUGGCCAGAGGUAUGGCCUGAGGACUGUAUAUGAUCACCUGUCUUGCCACCCCCACAGCCGUGAUGUUUCUGGAUCAGAGUCAGCCAAUGACCAACUGAAUCCCAAAUCUGUUAAUAAAGAAAAGAUACAAAAAUGAACUGGAGAUACAGAUUCAAAUGAUACUGAACAAUAUUCCAUGAAGGGGGAAAAUUGAUAUGCUUAUGCAUUUAUUCAUCAAUGUGAACCUGAUUUCC